UGCCAGCCGCCGCGGUAAUACGGAGGGUGCAAGCGUUGUUCGGAAUUACUGGGCGUAAAGCGCGCGUAGGCGGCUUUUUAAGUCAGAUGUGAAAGUCCACGGCUCAACCGUGGAAGUGCAUUUGAAACUGGAAAGCUUGAGUAUCAGAGGGGAUGGUGGAAUUCCCGGUGUAGAGGUGAAAGUCGUAGAUAUCGGGAGGAAUACCGGUGUCGAAGGCGACCAUCUGGCUGAAUACUGACACUGAGGUGCUAAAGCGUGGGGAGAAAACAAGCUUCGAUC
rnacentral:rRNA from 1 species